GCCGGAGUGGUGAAAUUGGUAGACGCACUGGACUCAAAAUCCAGCGGGAGCAAUCCCAUGCCGGUUCGACCCCGGCCUCCGGCACCA
rnacentral:tRNA from 4 species